rnacentral:lncRNA from 1 species
UGUCGUGACAGGGAAAAGGUGACACUGGAAGGGGCUAACCCCAGGUUGGCCUAGAACUGGCCGUUCCAGUGAGCUGAGGGGUCUGCAUAAUUGGAUAAGAUAGCCACACUUUUUCAGUCCUGCCCAAGAAUAUCUGUGAGAAUAAAAUGAAAGUUAGCCUGUGUCCAUGUCUCCUGCCCUAAACAAAAGGAAGCUCAGUGAGACAGAACCCCCAAAGCAGUGACUUGUCUUGCAGGCCAAUUACGUUGUCUCCCCAGCCUCUCUGCAGCUGUUCUGGCCUCUGCUUUCUGGGAUGGAGCCUCUGCUCUGGGGGCCCUCCACAGCCCAGCUCCAGGAAGGUGACUGCUUCCUGGUUUGAGACGUAUUAUUAAACUGUAAUCAUACUGUGCAUGGAGUCAGCCAAAGCAGUGGCUAUUAAUAGGGAGGUGAAGAAUGCUGACUCAGAAGGAAGCUGACUUAGGCUGGAAGGGAGAGCCCGGCCACCUUGGCCUACAAUUCUCAGCAGGAGGUCAGUGAGAGAGACCUGAGCUCACUUCGUUCCUGGGCAGGAGUCAGCAUUAUCUGGAUUUCUCAACUUUGGAAAUAGAAACCCGAAGCAGUCCUGAUCAAAGGGAUAUUGAGCUGUCUUUCCCAGGUCCUUGGGGAGUCUCCGAGCCCGGAGUACUGAUAGCUUAAAUAGCUAUGACUCAGCAGAGCAGCAACUCUUCCCUCCCGAUGUCAUGAGUAGAUGAGACUUGGAAAGGGGCACUGGGACUCCAUUUCCGUGACCUCCCUCAGCUGAGAAGCCUGUGCUGAGCCAGCCCUUAGCUGGCCGGACAACCCCCAUUGGCAGAGACACCCAAUUAGGGAGAUUCUGUUUCUGGCUCCUUGGAGGUGACCAUUUUCAUUUCAGGUGAAGGGCCACGGUAAAUGAAGGGCAGGGUGCAGGAGGGCCUCACACUGUGGAGAAAGGACAUUUUUAGCAAUUUCUGUCAAUGCCAUGCAUUUCUCAGAGAGUUCAGACUUUAGCCGUCUGGUAGACUCCCCAUCGUCAGGUAGCUGGAAGUAAGACAGAUCCCCGAAUCUGGCCCAGGAUAUGCCCCGGAGAAACAGGACUGCCCCUGGAUGCACAAUAGCCCUCACUCUGCAGCAGCCACCAAACAGCCUUCACACGUGCUGCUUCAGCUCGUUCUCACCAACCCCAGCAGCUGACAACAGAGUCAACCUCUUCGAGGCAGGAGCAUUCUGGCAUUUCGCACAGAGAAAACAGAACACAAUUUGCCCUCGGGCCCAGUUGAUGAUUCCUGGACCGUGGGGUCGAUAUCCAGGGCUGGCAUCUCCACGGUUCUUUUAUCUCAGUCUCCACUAUAAACACCAGGCCCCAUGAGAGCUGCUGGGCUGAGGCUCAUUUAAAGAAGCUUCCUGCGGAAUGAUGAGGGAAAAGGCAGGUCCGUAAAUCCCCGCCUGCGCCCGCCGAGGAUUCCAAGCGCAUGAGCAGCUCCAGGCUCCAGCUUGCUGUCCCCCUUGCCCUCCUUCUUGCAUUAGCAGGCACUUCCUCUAAGGCUGCUGCCCUGGGAGGGUUUCUUGCAAACCCACUAGAUCUGAGGAAAGACAGAGAAAACAUCUACUUAAGGCUGCCCAGAUGACAGCAUGUGUCUAAAAAUAUAUGUCUCCUAGUUUUCGAGUGAUCGAAGGCCCCACAGCCUUCAGCACUGGAGUCAUUUAGAGGUCAUGGUGAAAGGACUGGCUCCCUCCUUGCCUCCAUUUAAGCAGAAGCUGCGAGAAAGCCCCCAAAGCCUUGGGUCAUGUCUCCAACAGGCUCGGGUGAGUGGGAAGUUCGGCCUCAUAGAAGGCCCCUUGCUGGUGCGGUUCAUGAGGACGAUAAAUUAGCAAAGCUGAGGUGCGCCCAUCACGGUGAGCAGUUCUCUAUUGCUUCUCUUCUGGGGAAUGAACAGGCUUCAUUUGCUUUUCCCUGAGGCCAGGUUUCUAACCCAAAUCUGUCCCUGGAGUCUUUGGCCUGAAAUAAGAAAGGAGUCUUGAGUCAGCAGGAGAGCCACUCCUCACUAUGAAUUACACAGCAACUCCUUGUGGAUCUGCCCGUACCCUUCCCCCGGGCACACAUCAAUCAAUCGAAGUAUUUCUCAAAUAUCUACCCCAUACCCAGAACUGGGCAUUUAGGUACGUGGUUCAAGUUUCAGAUUCUUCCAGCAAAUGGUUUGUAUGGGGUAAGAAAAAGGAUUGGAGGUCAGGUAGGCAGCUGAGUAAUCCCCAACUCUGCCUUUUUAAAAGUGGUUUCAGUUGCGCAUCCUUGGAAUUGAUUCUGGGCAGCUGUUAAUUGCAAAACUCACUGCCAAUUAUCGAUAGCUAAAGUGGCAUUGGAGAGCUUCUCAUGGUAAAAAUAGGGGCAGGUAAUAGAUGAGAAAAUAGCUUUACAUUUGAGAAGAGAGGAUGGGAACAUAUUGUCUCAAUCUUGCUGUGUUCGAGGUUUCCUUUGUCAGCCUGGGUUCUCUCCCAAGACUGGCCAGCAAAGUCUACUUAGUGACCUCCAGCAAAUAGUCCACCAGCAAGCUACUUAAGAUUAGAGCAGGCUGGGCGUGGUGGCUCACGCCUGUAAUCCCAGGACUUUG